rnacentral:ncRNA from 1 species
AUAAAUCCAGUGAUAGGAAGUAGUAACAAGAACGUUUUAUUUAAGAGAGUCAGCGGUUGGUGUGAGCUGAUAUAAGCACUUGUGAAUCCGUCCUUGAGGAGCCAGGCUGAAUUAGUAGUAAGCUUUGGUCGGUUGAAAAGCCGUUAUGAUAUAAGUGGAUUAGGAAGUGAUUUCUAAUCAAUUAGGGUGGCAACGCGGGUAGCUCUCGUCCCUUUU